rnacentral:tRNA from 1 species
GGCGAUCCGCCGCUCAGCUGGAUUGAGCACCGGCCGUCUAAACCGACGGUCGCAGGUUCGAAUCCUGCCGGGAUCGCCU